CCUUUUCAGACCCAAACCUUUACUGAGGUAAAGAAGACGAAGUCAGGAAAAUGGAAAGGACCCACAGUGUGAACAAAGGAAGGAAUGAGGAGUCACUGGAACUGAGCUGAAACUGAAACUGAAAAGAGAAGGAGGUCCUUGGUUUACGAUGUCGUCGACCUCCGGCGUGUCGUGAUUCCGUCGCUGUGUUACUGCUGUGGUAGAGAAGGGAAAAUGCUUCUCCCAUGUUUCUGAGCCGGUCUGUUCCAGCCAAAACUGGCGAUGGAAGUGUAAAGGACACCGCAGGCUCCAAUCUUAGCAUCAGACGUAAGUCCGCAGGGAGGACUUAAAGUGACCCGCACCAGUAUUCCGUCUUUCCCCGAGUCCUCACCAACUCAGACCCUGAGGAGCUGGACCUGACUUUGACCGUGGACUUCAGACGUCUCUCAAAGAAAUCCUAGCCCGUUGGUGUGCGGAAUCCGGAGCGUGCUGUUUUUCUUUGCCGCGCGAUAGAGACGUGGGACGACAACCAAACGCCUGCCUGUCUUCACUGCCACUACUCCACCGCUGCUGCCACCUUGAAUUGGCUUGUGAGAACAGCUACAGGAGCUCUGAUCCAGAGGUUUGGACAGACGCCAUCACGGUUGCUUAUCCAGCCACAUCCUCCACGCUGCUCUGCAGUGCACCUGGGGAGAGCCAAGAGCACACUGGGAGGAUUCCCAUUGUGUGUGUGAAUGUGUGUCCAGCGUGAUAUAGGACCCACAUAUGUAUGUAACAUAUAUACAGUACACAGCAGGUAUAUGAGUCAAAGGUGUCUCCUAGUAUACCAGGAUAUUUGACUAAAAUGACUUGAUGUCCUGAUUUGUUUUUCUCUUAUUUCACUCUUUUACAACAUAAAUAUGAAUAUUUUAGAAGUUAUACCUCAUAUGGAUCACACCCAUAAUAAUAAUAAAAAAAUAGAACAUUUUUCAGAGGGUUAGUCUGCUCCAACAGUACUGCGAGUCCCAUUAAGGAUUUGGUGUCUAUAAAGGGAAGAGUGCUCCCUACUGGUGUAACAGCUGCCUCGAUUGCACUUUCUGCAGCUCUUAUCUGUCUCAUCCGUUUUAUAGACUGCACGGAGCUCAUUAUCUCACAAUUAAACCCUACUGAUUGUAUCGUUUGUCUGCUAGGAAGUCUGCAAAGUAGGGCUCUCUGAUUUUUCUGUUUUUUGGGAAUUUUUACUUUGAAGCAGUUGUGACUCCUACAGAAAAAAGAUGAUGACCAGAGAAAACUCUGAGUCAAAGAUCUGGGAUAAAAAGAUUUAAAGCUUUUUUUUAAAACUGACAUAACCUUUUUUUAUUAGAAUUGUAUGAAUAUUUUUAUAGCUUUGUGUAAAGUUGUGUUAAAACAGAACUCCAGGUUUGAAGAACUAAACAUGUGACUGGUCCCAAAAUAGAUCAGGUGAAGAAGGCGAAUUAUGAACCAUCAUCACUUUUCUGAUGUGGCCAUCAAAAUACUUUCCUCUAUUUUGGAAUUUAAUUUCAGAAUUAAUCAUUUGAGAUGUACAAUGGACACCACACAUUUAAUUUUCCAAGAAGUUAUAUCAAAUUUAAUCAAAUCUAAUCUAACCUAAAGCCUUUUAAUGUUAAUGUCUUGUAACAGCAAAGUUAGUAAAGAUGUUUUUGUUACUUUUAAAGCUCUUAAUGACAGGAAGUAGUUGUCAACUGGGGUUUUUCUUAUUAAACUAAAAGGCUUUAUUUAUUAGUUUCUCCAGGUUUAUAGUCAUUGCGAGGCUUGUGUUUGAAUGUGAAGUACGGCAGGGAGACUUCACAGCUGACAAUAGUAAGAGUGCCUUUCUCCACGGCGCUGCUGCAGACCUGAGUAUUCCCGUGGAGUGACAGAUUUUGGUGAAGUUAUUCGUUGCUGUCGUAGCCCAGCCUCAGACAGCGUUCUCCUCCUCCACCCAGCUGUAGCGCUAAGCUAACCUUCACAGUUCCAUGAAGUUUCUUCACGGUUGACAAGCUCCUCCAGCACAACUGUUGUCCCUGUGCUUUUCCCCCUAACAAGUUCAAAAUAAUGCAAAUGCUUCCACACAGUGACGCUCGCCCGUUCUGUCUCUCCCACCAAGUCAACUGCCACACAGUGUGUGUUUCAGCUGCAGCGUUUGUGCCAGGUCUGACUGCCUGGAUCUGACUGCCUGGAUCUGCUCAGGUAUUUAGGAAAAUGGAGACAGUGUGAAUUCUAGCAGGUUUUCUUCUGAGAUACAGAUUAUUACAAAAACAAUAUUAUUAAUAUAUCAACAAUCAAAUCAAAUUUGAAGGUCUAGUGUGUAAGUUAAUUUAAAUAAAUAUGAUUAUGUUAGCUGUUAUUUCUGACCCUUUUCCAGAUAUUUUCUGGCUAGUUUGACUCCCAGAAUAUUGGCAGUCUCGUGUUAUUUGCUAGUCCAAACACCUUCAUGUUAUCUUUAAUUCAAUUCUUUUAAGAGCAAAACUAAAAACUAAGCCUUUUGCCUUGGGAAGUUCUAGUGUUGUUAAAACUCCUCUGUCUUUCCAAAGAAAAACCCAAGUUUCAACAACUUUGGCCAAAACAAUUGAUAACCUUGAUAUCACUUAAAAAUAGGUGAAGAAAUGAAUUAAAUUUACAGAAGAAAAAAAACAUUAUAAGAGCUAUAUCAGUCUGGAUUACACAUACAGUUUCACCCAUGUGACCCUAACAAAUGUGCUACAGAAUACCUAGCUCAGCAGCAGCUCUUUGAUCAAUGUUUAGACGCCAGGAACCCAAACUCAUGGACAUUCCUCACUCCUGGGUCGCAGGGUCAGGGGUCAAUCCUAACUAAAAAAAUUAGUCAGCAAGUUCACCGCAGUCUCCGCUUGGAUCCAAACAGCCGGGUCUGUGUGGCUGCUCUGGUUCCUCCUGCACUAAUGAACACAGCUGCACCAGACUCUGCCUCUCUGUCAUGGAGAACGGGGAACGUGCUGUAUCUUUUUCACUGUAAUGAACAUAAUAAGGUCUCCUCCAUAUUUUACAGCAAUGUUGCUAUUUCAAAACCAGCCCCAGAUGUUUGGGGUUUUUUCACAUUGCAUGAAAUGUCCUAAUCAAGUUCAACACAGGAGGGAAAACAAUCCAUCGGAGAAAUGUGGCAGUGUUUCUGAUGACACAUUUAGAACAUGGAAACACAUACUGCAGAUCCGAACACUGGUGCUCUAGAAAAUAUGUUGUAUACAUCUGAAAGAGGAACAGGUAUUUGUGGGUUUGUGUGUGUGUGAAAUUGUGUUUUAAAAUUUCUCUCAAAAUGUGUUGUUGUUUUUUUUGCUUUUAGACUGUGUACAGGAGCAGGUCUGCUCCAGGCUACACUGCAGCAGGCUCAUCAGCAGCCGUGGAGGAAGACUCUCUGUGGCCCACAGAGUCGAAGCAACAAGCGUCAGAUCACAGACUUAGUGGACCAGAGCAUCCAAAUCACCUCACACUGUUCUGUGGUGACAGCUGACAACUGCUACAUCCUGGUGUGUGGCUUCUGGGACAAGAGCUUUGGAGUGUACUCCUCAGAGACAGACUCCGGUGUGAUUUCUGCUGCUACAGUACAUGGUUCUCUCCUGAUACUGACUGUCUGUUUCCACAACAGUCCAUCUGUGCAGUCACUGUCAUUCGAGAUUUUAAGUGUGGCUUAGUGGUGAGAGCACUCUAAUUAACUUCACUAAGGCUCAAACAGUUAAUUAAGGCUUUCAGCUUGGUCGCCUCCAAUUAGCAAAGGUGCAACAGCCAGUGUGUUACUGCAGCAGGGACUCAAACAGAACUGCCCUGGUUCUCACACAUCCAGGGACUGACUGUGGACAAAAGGAAAAAAGGAACGCACUGAGCAGAAAUACACACCUCCCUGGUCUUCUUUCUACUAAUAUGGCAGCUGUCAUGAGAAACAAAUGAAAUGAACUGAAUUCAUCCACUAAACCAAAGCCCAAACUAAUGCACAAUGUCCUGAACAUGUCUUUGUAGUGAUUCCCAAAUUAAAAAUGUAGUUGUCAUCCACAUAAAACAAAUAUUUGUUUGCUUUACUUUCUAUUAUCCUUUUUUUUUAAUUUAACUAUUGUACUUAAUCUUUUCAACUUACCUUAAUAUUUAUUUUAUUUCAAUGUUGUUUUUUUCAGUUUUUAGGUAAUGAUGGGGGUUUUUGACUUCAUUACAUGUUCCAGUCUUCUGUUUUUAUCCAUUUCUUUUAUUUUCAUAUUGUUCACUAAAUGUCUAUUUCUAAGUCACAGAUAUUGAUUAAUAAUUUACAUUGGCUCUUGUUCACAUCUGCUGUUUGUGUGGUUGAUUGCUUGCUAUUUUUUCCUUAAAUCCCCAUAUUUGUUGGGUCUGUCUGUUCCUGCUGGUUAAUCGGUGUCACCACACUCACCUGUGUCUCUGUUGUUAGUCUCACUGGUGCCACCUGGUGCCCUGGGUAUAUAUAUUCCUCUCUGCCUCCCUCUGCCUUGGUAGGAUCAGUGUUCGUUCAGUCAGUCAGUCAGUCAGUCAGUCAGUCAGUCAGUCAGUGAGUCAGUCAGUGUUUGGAGUUCAUGUGUUGUGACCAAGUGAGUUUGUGUUCUUUUGCACUUUGUCAAUAAACCUGCUGCACCUGAAGUCUCCCUUGUGUUGCAUUUGGCUCCUGUCUGCUUCCUGCAGUGUUAGCAUUUGGCUAACCUUUAGUCAGUCGCACAACUAAGAGGGGGAGAUUUGUAGUUGGUCAUUGUGUUGCCUGAGUCCAGAUUCUCUCAGGGGCUUAAAAGCAGGACUGUGUGUGUGUGUGUGUGUGUGAUAUAAAAGCUGAUUGAAUCUUUUGUCAGGUAGGGCGAGCUGCACUAUCCGUCCCUUUUCCCCUGAGUCUUAUUCUGACACUGU